ACGGCCUAAAGCGUGAUUAAAUUAUAUUUAGAAAAAUAGAAAUAAAAAUUAACUCGACUGUCGUACGUAUUUGUUAAACGGCAAACCAGAAACGAAAGAUAUUCUAAUAAACAAACUACUUGAACCCACGAAAGCUAAGAAACAAACUAGGAUUAGAUACCCUAUUAUGCUUAGCCUUAAACUUUGGAACCCACCCGCCUGAGUACUACGAGCCACAGCUUAAAACUCAAAGGACUUGGCGGUGCUCUACACCCCCCUAGAGGAGCCUGUUCUAUAAUUGAUAACCCCCGCUAAACCUCACCACUUAUUGCCAAUACCGCUUAUAUACCGCCGUCGUCAGCUCACCAUUUAAAUGAAGAAUAGUAGGCAUAAUGAUAAACAUAAAAACGUCAGGUCAAGGUGUAGCGAAUUAAGUGGAAAGAAAUGGGCUACAUUUUCUAAACUAGAAAACACGAAAAAUUUUAUGAAAAAUUAUUUAAAGGUGGAUUUAGCAGUAAAAAGAAAAUAGAGUGUUCUUUUUAAAUAGGCCCUAGAGCGCGCACACACCGCCCGUCACCCUCCUCAAAAACCAACUAAUUAUAUAAUAAAAAAAAUAAAAAGAAGAGGUAAGUCGUAACAUGGUAAGUUUACCGGAAGGUGUACUUGGAUUAU
rnacentral:rRNA from 1 species